rnacentral:rRNA from 1 species
GCCCGCUCAGAAACUCAAAGGAAUUGACGGGGCCCGCACAAGCGGUGGAGCAUGUGGUUUAAUUCGAUGAUACGCGAGGAACCUUACCUGGGCUCAAAUGUAUGUUGACGUAUUCUGAAAGGGAUACUUCUUCGGACAAUAUACAAGGUGCUGCAUGGUUGUCGUCAGCUCGUGCCGUGAGGUGUCGGGUUAAGUCCCAUAACGAGCGCAACCCCUAUCAUUAGUUGCCAUCAGGUCAAGCUGGGACUCUAAUGAAACUGCCUACGCAAGUAGUGAGGAAGGUGGGGAUGACGUCAAAUCAGCACGGCCCUUACGUCCAGGGCUACACACGUGCUACAAUGGUCGGUACAAAGGGUUGCCAAGCCGCGAGGUGGAGCUAAUCCCAUAAAACCGAUCGUAGUCCGGAUCGCAGUCUGCAACCCGACUCCGUGAAGUUGGAUUCGCUAGUAAUCGCGCAUCAGCCAUGGCGCGGUGAAUACGUUCCCGGGCCUU